rnacentral:lncRNA from 10 species
GCUACAAGGAUUCAAUCUGCUUUCCUUUAUUUUGGAAGUUGUUUACACCCACUCUACUUUCUGGGUUUAUUUCCUAGCAAGACUGCCUGCAGAGUUAUCUUCUGCUGACCCUCAGAAAAACCUAUAGAAGGCAAAAACAUCUUCGAAGGAGGUUCUCUUUACUUCACGUGAACUCAUCAUUAACUUAAGUACUGUAGCCUAGAAAUCAUUGUCAAUUGCAUUUUUUUUGCAGAGCAAAACCACCUUUUUUGUUUGUUUGUUUAAAGGAGUGGAACACUGAGUAACUCUUGAAAUGGAAAAUGACUAUAUAUCACUUAGUAUAAUUAUGGCCUUCACCAAUAACUUUAUCUGUCAAGCCAAAUAAUUAGUAAAGCUCUCCAGUGUGGUAAAUCCAAAAUGCUCUUGGUCAUUUACUCCAGUGUAUAACAGCUUUUAAUAUCAGUAAAUAUUUCUUAGCAACAAAUGUUAAAUCUUCCUUCUCUUGUGAAUACUAGGUCUCAUUUUCUUGUUCUUGAUUCAAUAAAGAUGAAGACAGUCUGGCUGUUCUUCAAGAAAGAAAAAUGUUAGAGGCUUACAUUAAUUAAACUAUUGGUAUAUUUGUUGAAGUUCAUGAGACGCUGAAUUAUACCCUAGGAAGUAAGACAUACAUGCAAAAAACAAAACAAAACAACAACAACAAAAAACAAACAAACAGCAAAGUAACAAUGCCCAAUUAUAUAAAGGCCAAAAAGCUCAGGUGAAAAAGUGCAAACAGAAGUGGAGGCCAAGAAAAGAAUGUGGGAGAGAAUGAAAUAUGUGAGCCUCAAACAGAAUAGAAAAAUGGGCAAAAAGAAAAGGUUGGGGAGGGAAGGAAAGCAGCAUGAAUGAAGGAUGAUAAAGGAUUAGUUUGAAGGUGAAAUUUUACUUUAUUCUUAACACCAGAGAUCUAUAUGCUACUCACGGAUAUUUAUUAAAUAAUUAUGAGUAAUGCAUACUCAUUAAAAUAUAAAUACAUUUAAGAUAGAAAGAACAACAAAAAUUAUCUCUAAUCACACUAUUCCCUCCUCCCUAUUGAUGUUUUAGCCUUGUUUAUUACAGACCUUUUCUGGGCACUUUAAAAGGCGUACUUUCACCCAAAUACAGACUUGAUUGUGAACUUUUAAAUUUAUUAUUGCAUAAGAUUUUUUAUGUUAGUUAUACAUCUCAUUUGAUCAAGUAUAUAUACGCCAAAGUUUUAUUUAAUAAUUCAUACAUAGUUAUAUCUUUGAGUAACCUUAUAAUUAGAAUUUGUAUAAAUCGUUUUGCUACUAAGAUCUUUGUACAAAAUACUAUUUUUCUGUUGUAUAAUCACUGAGAAUGGAGUGAAAUGGAGUGGACAAAACACAGACUUUGGAGUUAAAUAGAACUGGUUUUGAUUUUCAGUUCUGCUCCUUAUAGCUUGUAAUUUUAAGCAAUGUAUCUAACUUCUCUUGGGCCUUGGUUUCCUAAAAUAUAAAAUAAAAAUCACUAUGGUUACUUUGUAGUACUAUUCUGAGAAUAAGAAUUAAUAACUGCAAAGUGUAAUGUGCUUAGA